AGUGAACGCUGGCGGUAGGCCUAACACAUGCAAGUCGAACGGCAGCACAGUAAGAGCUUGCUCUUACGGGUGGCGAGUGGCGGACGGGUGAGGAAUACAUCGGAAUCUACUUUUUCGUGGGGGAUAACGUAGGGAAACUUACGCUAAUACCGCAUACGACCUACGGGUGAAAGCAGGAGAUCUUCGGACCUUGCGCGAUUGAAUGAGCCGAUGUCGGAUUAGCUAGUUGGCGGGGUAAAGGCACACCAAGGCGACGAUGCGUAGCUGGUCUGAGAGGAUGAUCAGCCACACUGGAACUGAGACACGGUCCAGACUCCUACGGGAGGCAGCAGUAGGGAAUAUUGGACAAUGGGCGCAAGCCUGAUGCAGCAAUACCGCGUGAGUGAAGAAGGCCUUCGGGUCGUAAAGCUCUGUUGUUGGGAAAGAAAAGCAGCAGGUUAAUACCCCGCUGUUCUGACGGUACCCAAAGAAUAAGCACCGGCUAACUUCGUG
rnacentral:rRNA from 1 species